GCAUUUUCUUGCAAAACAAAUAAUUUUGCAGCCUCAGGCUGAAAUUGAUUAUAUACAAAUAUAAAAAUACACAACUGUUUGUGACUACGUAAUCACAUUAGAGGCCAAGAAUAUAAUAGAAUGCUCAGGGGUGUAUCACUAAACAGUAAGUAGUGGUUGUAUGAAAACCAGUUUAGCACGAACAGAUAAGAAUAAGACUGUAUUCGUAUUAAUAACUAAGCUAUAUCUUCCUUUAUUUUGCAAAUCUGUGC